UGAGGGAUAUUGGUCAAUGGGCGCAAGCCUGAACCAGCGACGCCGCGUGGGUGAAGAAGGUCUUCGGAUCGUAAAGCCCUUUUCCCACUGAAGAGGAAGGACGGUAGGUGGGGAAGAAGUCUCGGCUAACUACGUGCCAGCAGCCGCGGUAAAACGUAGGAGACAAGCGUUAUCCGGAGUUACUGGGCGUAAAGGGCGUGCAGGUGGCGUCUUAAGUCUGUUGUGAAGGCGCCUGGCUUAACCGGGCGAGGCCAAUGGAGACUGAGAAGCUGGAGGACGGCGGAGGGGUGUGGAAUUCCGGGUGUAGUGGUGAAAUGCGUAGAGAUCCGGAGGAACACCAGAGGCGAAGGCGGCACUCUAAGCCGUACCUGACACUGAGACGCGACAGCACGGGGAGCAAACG
rnacentral:rRNA from 1 species